rnacentral:lncRNA from 1 species
GACUUUUCUGGAGGCCGCGGGUGAGGAGCACAGCUGAUAUGCCCUUUUUUCUGGUUUGUUGUUAUUUACCUAGCAUUGUAAACUAAGGAGGAAAAGUAACAAAGAGCUUGAAGACUUUCAUGGAGCCCAGGCCCUGGACGGAGGCAGGCGACAUCAGAGAACCAAGAAAGCUGAGGGGCAGCCAGGAGGCACCUGUGGCUGCAGAGCCCAGAGUAUCGUUACAUUUCUUUAUUUGUGUGCAAGAGUCGAUGUGAUAACUUUCUGUGACAUGUUCUGUUAUUUUUUUAGUUGUGUUGAUGUUCCUUUCAGCCAAUCCUAUAGUCCCCCCAUCUCAGGAAUGUCUCCCCAGUGACAGGACACAGACUGCAGAGACCGCUGUACUGGUGGACGCUCAAGCCAACUGUGAAGUUGAAACAAAGGAAUCAGGACUCGGUCACCUGAAGACACCUCUUCUGCUAAGCGACACACCCACAUGAUGCAGUUCAGCCAGUAGACUCUCAGAACAAGAGGCAAUCUUUGCAAGAAACAGGAACACUUGAGAAUGACUUCUAGAUUUCUGACUUCCCUUCCUCGUGUGUAUUCCUCUGUUUGUAUUUCAAUUCUGUGUGACAUUCAUCUUUAAAAAAGUGUUUUCUGAUAUGAAUAUGCUUAUCAACACACCCAAUUUUUAAAAUAGAAAAUUUCACACACAUGCUAAUGUUUUAAGGAACAAAAUUCAUGCUAUGAAUUUUAGCCACAUACAAGGUUUGACCUUAAGAGUGACUUAAACAAUAGGAUAUAAAGUUAUUUUGAAACAGCGGAGUCGUCGGAGGUAACUCAAAGGAUAGAAUAACGGUGGUAACUCAGAAUGCAGCGUGGAAAGGCAUUACCCUGUGACACCACCAAUCUACCAUGCUUUCUGUCAGGCAAGCUAGGUUCUGCCUCUGCAGAGUUUAAGUUUAGUUAGGCAGAGGUAUGUACGCUUUUGACAAGAUAAGUAACAAAUCAAGUCAAUAGACAAUAACAGUAAAACCAAAGCAAGACAAAAGAUGUAUGAACAAGGAGCUCAGAGGUGGUCACGUUAAACUGGGCAAACUGGUCCGUUUAGGGAAGAAAGUUCGCAAAGGAGGAGGAAAUGAAUCUUAAAAGAUGUUAAAGAUUUCGAUAAAUGGAAAAGAAGGAGAAAAUCGAGUCCUUUAGAUGGAUGUGGUGUUGUGAGCAAAGUCCGGGAAGACUACAUGUAAUUUUAGGGAAUUAUGAUCACACAUGUCUAGUUGCCUUCACCCCAGACUUUCAGUGCCAGUGUGUGUGUAUGUACAUACGUGGUAAAGACUUCAUGGACACAUUGUCCCUCUCCCGCUUCAGAUGUCGCCUAGAAUCAUAAUUGUAUUUCUUCCAUUAAAGCACGUGAGAGUGGCGAUAACAGGAGGAUUUGUGAUUUUUCUCUUGGCCUGAUAACAAUGGAUGUUUAUUGAGUUCUCACUACAUUUUGAGUAUUUUAUACAUUAACUCUCUGAAGCCUCACAACAAUCCUGCAAAAUUUAUCCCCAUUUUACACUAAGAAAACUGAGGUUUAAUGAGGUUAAGUAACUUGCCAAACCACCACAUCCAGGUGUCACAAUCAGAUUUGCCAUCGCAAAGCUCAUGAUCUAAAGCACUAAGUCAAAAUACUACGACCAACAUCACAAUAUGACCACUUCUCUAGUCCUUGAGAUUUUUCUGUGGUAAAUGGUAACAAUUAUCUUCUCAAAUUUUUCAGUUUUCUGGUUAAAUUACACUAAAGUGAUGGAACGUAUUUUUAUCAUGACAGAAAUUGGAGGGGAAAUGGGGUUUAUCAGCAUUUUAGGCUGCUUUGGUGGGUGUCCAGCCUUUGAUGGGACUAUUCAUUUUGGUGAGCAUGAACUCUCCACUUCUUGAGAAUGAAAAUAGAAAGUGAGGGGAGCCUAAAGGUCAUCUAUACAAUGUCCUUUUCUACAGGUGUUGUCAAUCCAUGAAGUUAGAGUGACUUACAGAAGAUCCCACAUUUGCGUGUAGCAAAGCAAGGUCCAGAAACCAUGCCCUCAGCGGCUCUUAAAUAAACAACUGCAUCCUGCCUAAAAGAAAUGUGAGCUUGAAUUUGAUCAAUGACAACAUUCCAUCUGGGUGAUCAGGGGCGGCAUGGAACCUAGUAGACUGCUCAGUUUUGCGCCUCUCUGGCUUCUCACCUCAGCGUGAAAAAUAGCUAUAGCUCUGGGCUGACAUCUUUAGAUGCAGGAAUUGUCAGUGGUCCAUCCACACAGAACAUACAAUGGCCCAAGUUAUGUGUACAGUGUCUUCAAUGAUUUGGAAUUCUCAGUUCACCUAAACAGAUCUUCUCAUGAGCAUUUCCUGAACCAAUUUUAUGCACAGUAUAUAUUAGAGCUUCCACAUCAAGAUUUAAACACGACUGUUUCGCUAGUUCUUAUGUUUUUGACGGUAUCAGUGGUUCUUUGCUAUUUUAACCUUCACUUAUCCAGGUGACUAACUCAAGAAUACUUCAGCAAUAAAAAGCUGGAAUUGAGGAAACCUUAUUCUUUACCAGCCCCUUCGCCUUCAGUUGGCAUUCAGUCAUGCCAAAUAGAGGGGUCAGCUGGAGAACUCAAAUUUGAAAUGCAAUUUUGUCUGAAGUCCGUUAAGCUGUGUUUACUUAAGGGCAAGCUUCUAGAUGUUUGAAAGUACCUGAAUAUUUAACUGUUGUAAAUUUCCAGUUAGAUAUCUGGCAUUGUUGCACUUGGACCUGCUGGUGGCUCAGGUCAUCCUAUUUUCAAAAUGAUCAUUGGCCAUGUGUCACACAAUUCUCAUUAAGUGAGUUCAUAGAGUUUUUUAAGUCGAGCCAAGCACAAAAUGUGACUUUGUUGACAUUUUAUGAGACUUUGUCAUAUGUCCCCUGAACCCCCCAAUAAAAGCACUGUUGCAUCAACUG